rfam:Picea glauca, whole genome shotgun sequence.
AUGUACAUCCCUGCAAAAUAACGUUAAUGCACCAGAUCCCAUUAGAACUCCACAGUUAAGCGCGCUCAUGCUAGAGCAGUACUGGGAUGGGUGAUUGUCUGAGAAGUCAUAGUGUUUUACAUG